rnacentral:rRNA from 1 species
UACGUAGGCAGCGAGCGUUGUUCGGAGUUACUGGGCGUAAAGGGUGUGUAGGCGGUUGUUUAAGUUUGGUGUGAAAUCUCCCGGCUCAACUGGGAGGGUGCGCCGAAUACUGAAUGACUUGGAGUGCGGGAGAGGAGAGUGGAAUUCCUGGUGUAGCGGUGAAAUGCGUAGAUAUCAGGAGGAAUACCGGUGGUGUAGACGGCUCUCUGGACCGCGACUGACGCUGAGACACGAAAGCGUGGGUAGCAAACAGG